AUCUACUGUACAUGUCAGUACAGUCUUAGACUGGGAUUCAAUAUCUACUGUACAUGUUAGUACAGUCUUAGACUGGGAUUCAAUAUCUACUGUACAUGUCAGUACAGUCUUAGACUGGGAUUCAUUAUCUACAAUGCACCAUUUAAAAGUAACUCCUGAUUGAGCCGACAGAGACCCAUUUAAAGGUAACUCCUGAUUGAGCCGACAGAGACCCAUUUAAAGGUAACUCCUGAUUGAGCCGACAGAGACCCAUUUAAAGGUAACUCCUGAUUGAGCCGACAGAGACCCAUUUAAAGGUAACUCCUGAUUGAGCCGACAGAGACCCAUUUAAAGGUAACUCCUGAUUGAGCCGACAGAGACCCAUUUAAAGGUAACUCCUGAUUGAGCCGACAGAGACCCAUUUAAAGGUAACUCCUGAUUGAGCCGACAGAUACCCAUUUAAAGGUAACUCCUGAUUGAGCCGACAGAUACAGUGUUUACCGUGGAUUUAGUGGCCAUGAACGUGGGUACAUUGCCUUUAAAACAUGCAUUACAGACAAAGCGGGAUCGGAUUGCAUCCUGGCCCUAAUUGACAAUUCAAUAUUAUAUAAUGUCCACAACAAUAUCGAAGGAAUACCAGUCAAAAUAUUAUAUAACGUCCACAACAAUAUCGAAGGAAUACCAGUCAAAAUAUUAUAUAAUGUCCACAACAAUAUCGAAGGAAUACCAGUCAACAAUAUUAUAUAACGUCCACAACAAUAUCGAAGGAAUACCAGUCAACAUUAUUAUAUAACGUCCACAACAAUAUCGAAGGAAUACCAGUCAACAAUAUUAUAUAAUGUCCACAACAAUAUCGAAGGAAUACCAGUCAAAAUAUUAUAUAAUGUCCACAACAAUAUCGAAGGAAUACCAGUCAACAAUAUUAUAUAACGUCCACAACAAUAUCGAAGGAAUACCAGUCAACAUUAUUAUAUAACGUCCACAACAAUAUCGAAGGAAUACCAGUCAACAAUAUUAUAUCAUGUCCACAACAAUAUCGAAGGAAUACCAGUCAACAAUAUUAUAUAAUGUCCACAACAAUAUCGAAGGAAUACCAGUCAACAUUAUUAUAUAAUGUCCACAACAAUAUCGAAGGAAUACCAGUCAACAAUAUUAUAUAAUGUCCACAACAAUAUCGAAGGAAUACCAGUCAACAUUAUUAUAUAAUGUCCACAACAAUAUCGAAGGAAUACCAGUCAACAAUAUUAUGAAAUAGUUGUCAUUGUUAUUUUU